AAGUGGCUAAAGGACUAAAAAUGCACAUAGGUUCAUAAUUGUAAAAACCCAGAUAAUUUAAGCCAAAUAUAACAGUUGAGCGACCGUGCUAGAACUACGAAACUCGGGAAUGCCUAACACCUUCUCCCGGUUAACAGAAUUUCUUACUCGGAUUUCUCGUUUGCGACUGUUAAACAGAAUCAUUCUUUCCUCAAUUCGAGAUUCUAAAAUGGUGACUUAGGACACCAUAAAUUCCC
rnacentral:lncRNA from 1 species